GGAUGUGAGGGUGAUCUGGCUGCGACAUCUGUCACCCCAUUGAUCGCCAGGGUUGAUUCGGCUGAUCUGGCUGGCUAGGCGGGUGUCCCCUUCCUCCCUCAACGAUCCAUGUGCGUCCCUCCCAAAGCUGCGCGCUCAGUCGAAGAGGACGACCACCCCCGAUAGAGGAGGACCGUUCCUCGGUCAAGGGUAUACGAGUAGCUGCGCUCCCCUGCUAGAACCUCCAAACAAGCUCUCAAGGUCCUAGAAUCCCAGCAUUCUUACUCUGGGAGGCUGAGGCAAAAGAUUCUCAGACUCAAGCCUAUCUGGGAAAACUUACUGACUCAGCAAGACCUUGUCC
rnacentral:snRNA from 1 species